AUUGUUUUCUGUUUUCUGUAUGCUCUUGUUCCUGCUCUUGUUCCUGCUCCUCCCGAAUGGGUGCUGAAAAGACACCAAAUGAAUAUGAAGUAGCUGUACACCGUUCCAUUUGAAAGAAGGAGCUGCACUACCAGUAUGAACAGGGUAUAAUGGAACUGGAGGCAAGUGAACCACCGCACAACUUCAUCUAUACGGAUGAGGCUGGCUUCAAUCUAACAAAAUGCAGAAGACGUUGUCGAAAUAUCAUUGGCCACAGAGCUACAGUUAAUGUGCCAGCGGGGUGGUAACAUAACCAUGGGUGCUGCUAUCUCUGAGAAUGGUGUGCUAAUGCAUAAUUCCAUCAUUGGGCCAUACAAAACAGAGCAUCUUGUCACCUUUCUAGACACUCUCUACAGGAAUCUCAUCCCUGAACAAGAGAGGAGUCAGAUUGGAGAUGACUAGCCAAAGUACGUCAUAGUUUGGGACAAUGUCAGUUUCCAUCGCUCAAGCAUCAUCAGGCAAUGGUUUAUGACACACAACAGGAUGCUGAUGGAGUUCCCCUAACCCUACUCCCCAUUCCUUAACCCCACUGAGGAAUUUUUCUCAGCAUGGAGAAAGAAAGUAUAUGAUCGCCAGCCACAUAGACAAAAGACCCUUCUGGCUGCCAUGGAUGCAGCGUCUGAUGACAUCACAGCAGAUGCCUGUAGAGGCUGGAUAAGACACUCUAAAACAUUCUUUCCAUGCUGCAUGGCAAGAGAAGAUAUUUGUUGUGAUGUGGAUGAGAAUUUUUGGCCCAACACACAGGAAUGUUGGGAGGUGUAGGAAGACUACACUGUAAUUCCUACAGCACUGCAUGUACAGUUUUCCCUAAGGAGAUUGUCCUGUGUUUUCCUUUCUGUAUCGCAAUGACCUGGUCUGUCAACAAAUUACCAACAGUAAAAGCAUAAAGGUGA